GGGAUUACAGAAGCUCACUACCACGCUCAGCUAAUUUUUGUAUUUUUAGUAGAGACGGGGUUUCACCACGUUGGCCAGGCUGUUCUCGAACUCCUGACCUCAUGAUCCGCCCACCUCAGCCUCCCAAAGUGCUGGGAUUACAGCUGAGCCACCACACCCAGCCUGUGCAAAUACUUUUUAUGAGGAAAUCAUAGAAAAAGUAUCUGUUAGUUGACAGGCAGUAUCCAUAUUACAGUGUUUGGUUUGAGCACUUGAGUUGUUCUGAAGCUAGGUUACCAUGAAAAUAAAUACAGUGAUACUUGGAAUCAGAGAACACAUAUGGUCAGCAUUUUCCAGAUGGCAUAUUUAUGUCAAAUGUAUAGACAUUAUAAGAAAAAAUAUUAUAAGUCAAUAUUAAGAAGACUCUCUAAAUAUUUAGGUAAAUACAAUGCACUGUUCCCUCCGCCCAGAAAUAGAGUAUGAUCCUGGCACCUUGCCAAGAAACACAUAGAAAUAUCCUUGUACGUUGUGCUUAUAGUAGAUAAUCUGAAAAGUUUCAUCCAAAUCUUAAAUUCUAGAUAUGAAUAGUUUGUAAUAAAGUGUUAGAAGGAUCAAGAUUAAAAAUUAUUUGCAUAUGGUUCCCAACGCCUCUUAGUAAUCAGUGGAUGAUAAGUUCCUUGUAACUUAUUUUAAUAAAAAGUCUUGAGUACAGAAUGUGAGUAUAUUAUAGACUAAAUAUUUAUAUUCCUUCCCCCAGAUUCAUAUAUUGAAGGCCUAACUGCCAAUAUGACUGUAUUUGUGUAUUUGGGGAAGAAGCCUCUACAGAUAUAAUUAAGGUUAAAUAAGAUCAUUAAAUUGGGACACUAAUCCAAUAGAAAUAAUGUCUUUAUAAGAAGAAACACCAGAGAGAAAAAUAACUUUCUCCUCUCUCUCACUCUCUCUCUUUCUCUCUCUCUCUAGCUGUCUCUCCAGGAGGACACAAAGAAAAGAUCAAGACAGCAUGUAGCAAAUGUAGCAAGGAGGCAUCCAAUCAUCUGCAACCCAAGGGGCAAACCCUCGCCACACACCAACCCUGCUGGCUCCUUGCUUUUGGACUUCCAGUUUCAGAAUUAUGAGAAAAUACAUUUCUGUGUUUAGGCCAUCAAGUCUAUUGUAUUUUGUUCUGACAGCCUGAACAGACUAAUACACAGUAUAAUACAAUUGAAUUGUUGAUUCAUCUAAGAAAUAUAUAAUUUCUACAUGGUUUGUUGCAAUUAUCUGGGAAUAAAUAUUACCAUGACCACUUAUUCAGAACUUGAUAUCUGUAUUUAUUUCUAAGCAUGCAUAUAAUCCCAUUACUUGGUAGUCAUUUGAAUGUAUGUUCCACACUUACACCAAAAAGUGAUAAUAGUAUUGACUUCAUAUAAGAAGUCUUGAUAGUCAGUAGUAUUGACUUCACAUAAGAAAAUAUUAUAAAUUAAUUCCAAUUCCAAUUUAUGAAGAUAUUAUAAAUUUAAUAUCUCUGAAUGUAAAUUCUCGGUUGUUCUAGAUAUAAAAAUAAAUUAUUGAUUUAUUUUGCUAAGCUACUAUAAAACACAAUAAAAUUUAAAAGCCUCAAUUUUGCUGAUUGUUUACUAUUACAAAUCAUGCUGGAAUGGACAUUCUCAUAUUCUGUUUAGUCUUAAUCCUUCCCCCACCAAAUCCAAUGGAGUCAAGGAUUUGGACACAGACACUUUAUUUUGAAGUUGAUCCCAGGCACCAAAAAUGAGAAAAGAAAGAAAGGGAAAUAGGUAAGAGAAAAGGGGCAAUAAAGUUACGUCUUAACAAGCUUGAGUACCACAGUUAACAACUGAGUCACAAUCCCACUGGGGAUUGUAAGGAACAUACCUUGGGUUAGUUCUACCCCAGUACAAGGAAGCUACAGGAUUUAGCCAUUGCCUUUUAGCCCCAAUUGUUGAGGAUUUCCCUUAAGUAGUGUUAACACAGGCACAUACUGAGUGUUCCUGUGUCCAGCAUUUCUAUCUCAUUUGUUUUCAGAGAAACGGCUUAAGUGGAGAAGGGUGAUGCAGAAACAGGAAGUUACAGUCUAGCAGCAGGUCAGUAGCUGUUUAAAGGAGCAGUAGGUGAACUCAUCAGGCCAAAGGGACAGGGAGCAUUUACUAAAUUUGCACAUAUGUAAGAGUUUCUCUAGUGUACACAUUCAGUAAUGAUUUCAUUACUGAGCUGUCUAUGGCUGUUUCUUCAACCUUAUAAGAUAUUGCUACAUUGCUCCUCAAGGUUGUGCUGCCCAAAGACAAUCCUGCCAAAAUAAUGAAAUGUUCC
rnacentral:lncRNA from 10 species